rnacentral:rRNA from 1 species
GGGUGUGAUCAUUCCAGCACUAUUGCAUUGGAUCCCAUCAGAACUCCGCAGUUGGGCGUGCUUGGGCAGAGUAGUACUAGGAUGGCUAACCUCCUGGGAAGUCGUCAUGUUGCACCUC